UACGUAGGGUGCAGGCGUUAAUCGGAAUUACUGGGCGUAAAGCGUGCGCAGGCGGUCUUGCAAGACAGGUGUGAAAUCCCCGGGCUUAACCUGGGAACUGCACUUGUGACUGCAAGGCUGGAGUACGGCAGAGGGGGAUGGAAUUCCGCGUGUAGCAGUGAAAUGCGUAGAUAUGCGGAGGAACACCGAUGGCGAAGGCAAUCCCCUGGGCCUGUACUGACGCUCAUGCACGAAAGCGUGGGGAGCAAACAGG
rnacentral:rRNA from 1 species